GUACUAAAACAAAUAGAAAGGAAAUGUGAACUUUUCCUUAACACAUAAUGAACAUGUUAAUGUUUUUACUUAAAACAUUGCAGAACAUUAAUUCACCAGUUCAAAAUAAAUAUGAGAGAGAGAGACUUAUAUAUCAAAAUGGAAUGUUCCUAAACUGAAAAUACCAAUAAUAAGGUUGCUUAAAAACAUCUUCAAGAAGUAUCCAAUUUCCUAUAGUUGCUCCAUUACUUGAAGUGGAUGAAAAGGAAAGGUGACCUUUUCCAAAGUCUUCUCAAUUACAGAAUCUUUGGUUGGUUCCGGUCUGUAAAUCUUGGCUGAAUAUAAUCUGAAUAUAUAUCUGAACCCCUAAUUAGCUCCCCCUCCCCCUUAAAUCUGGAAGUAAUUCAGGAUAAAGAUUCUACAAAAUCACAAUAAAUAGGGGCCUCUUGAGCAAGAACCAGAUUUCAUCAAACUGACAGUACCCAGCACCAUUCUUUCACUUUUUAAAAGCACUGGUAUUCUCAAACUUUUAUGUCACUUAAUAUAAUAGCUCUGUGCCUCAGUUGCCUUAUCUGUAAAAUAGGAGUUAGAACAGCUGUCAUGGGCUUAAUGAGGAUUAAAUGAGUUAAUCCCUGUAACAGUCAUUAGAAGGAUAUCUGUCAUGGUAAGUAUUCAAUAAAUGUAGUUUUAUUAUUAUUGCCUAUCUGAACCCCGUAUUUCCAGUGCUGGCUUAAUAACCAAAUUGGCUUCAUUUUUGAAGGGUUUAGAGAUGAAAAAGAAAUGCAGGCUGAAGUGCCAAAUCUCACCAACACUGGGGUGGGGGGUGGGGACGGAUGGCCUACUAACAAUAACUGGGAUUCUGAUUUCAAGAUGACAAAGCAGUCUAAAAAUAAUAGACAAAAGAUUUAUACAUAGACAUGUCUAGAUCUGCAUAUAUAUAUCCCCAUUAGCAAGCCACAAAAGGGAACUUGUAAGUAAAGCAGAAUUUGUGUGGAAUCUCUGAAAGACAUCAUACGGAAUUUGAAGAGCAGUGCAAAAAAGCAUGUGGGAAAGUGCUGCCACAAAAAUAGGAUCAUCAGAGGUGCUCUAGACCUGGAGGAAAGGGAAAUGGUGCAGGACAAUUACCUAGAUGGAUAGUUAUCUGAUAGGGUAACUACACAUGCCAACUCCUCAGCCACACUCCUUGAGAUUAUUUGCCUUAAUAGGUAACAAAAUUUUGGUUUCUGUCUUGGGCAGAGAAAUGGAUGGGGAGAGAGAGAAAGCAAUGCCCAGUGCCUCACUUUGAAAUAUGUCCUGCCCAUCCCUAACUGCUUCUGAAAAUACUACCGAGUGCAAAUUUCUGUGCCAUCUAUGAAAAGGAUCUCAUAAAUAACAGUGGCAGAAAGUAUUAAUAGUCAAUAUCAACUUUAAAGGUGAGAACACAAAACUCCAGAAGUCUGCACAGCACCAUAAAAAAUGAAGUACAAACAAAUAACCACCCAGAAACCGUGAAUGGAUUCACAGAAUACAAACAAGUCUUUUAAAAACAACAUUGCCAAAAGAAAUAGGCAAAAGGUUCCUUAAGAGAGACCUCAGAGAUGGAAAAUAUAAUUGCUCAAAUUUAAAAACAACCAUAACUAUCUGGUCUGAGUAAUAGAAUGGACAUGGCUGAACAUGACAGUCAGUGGGUUGGCAGAGGAACUGUACAAGUGAAGGAAAAGAGUGGUAGAAAAUAUGGGGGGAGAAAAGGAUGAAAUGGGGCAACAUAACAAUGAGGCAAAGUUGAAGAAACGAUAGACAAAAAUUUUUCCAUUAAGAUUUUAAGAACUCCUUUGAGUGUCAAGUGGGGAAGGAAAAAAUCCUAAUCAUACAUCACUUCACAACAAGGAUACCCUAAAAGUUAACAGAAAAGGGAUUAAAAAGAUUACUGCAAAGUCAUGAGGAUCAAAUUGACAAAGCAAAACUAAACGAUGGAAAACAACAGUGAGUUUAAGGAGCUCAGGGAGGGAGGGGUGCCUGGGUGGCUUCAGUUCAGUGCCCAACUCAGUUUUGGCUCCAUUCCUGAUAGAUUUUAAGAUCAGUGCAGAGUCUGCUUGGGACAUCCCUUUCUCUUUGCCUCUUUCUCUCAAAUCUUAAAAAAAAAUAAAAUAAAAUAAAAUAAUUAAAGAGCUCAGGGAAAAUGGCAGGACUCUAGAUGGCCCCCAAGAUUUCUUACCACUGAAAAGAAUGCAGAGAAAGAUGUUAAAUAUAAAACCAAAUGAAUUGGCAGGCAUAAUUUCAAACUCAUUUCUAGAAAGGUGUAACUAGAAUUGUGAGAGGUUUUAAAAUAAUUAAUAUGCCUAAUACAUGCAGGUGUCCCAGUAAUGCUCUCUGUUUUAAUGGGAACAUUUCUGGAGUAUUUUAAAACAAAUACCAGUCAAUUCACCCUUCUAAAAGCAAUUCACCAUCUUGCGUGUUUUCUAGAACCAAAUUAACCUUUUUGAAGAAACUUCAGUCUUUCCUAAGGUGGCACUUUUUACUUAAUUUUACUUUAGUCUUCUUUAUACGACUUUUUCCUUAGUAUCAUAAGGUUGCGGUGGACUCUUGACACAGUAGGAAAUACAGGACAAUUCAAAAUCAGACUGCACAUGCUCUUCACCUACUUACAACCCUCUUAGCCUUUCAGUUCUUGCUCUCCAAAAUCUGGAUUCUAUCCUAAAACACACCUUGACUUAGUGUCUCAAUUUCCUGCCUUCCCUUUCUUCCCUUUGAUUUAUUCAUUCAGUAACUUUAUAGAGAGCUGAUUACAUGCCAGGCACUGUAUUAUACCCUUGGGACACUGGUGAGCAAAAACAGUCAUGAUCCUUGUUACUAAUGAAGUUUAUAAGCAUCUCAAAAACUAUAACUAAUGCAUAACAGAAAAGAGAAGUACUAUUUAAAGAAGUUAAUGGGAGUAUGAAACAAGAGAACUCUAGGAGAAGUACCCAGGCAAAGUGACAAGAUUUCAAAUAUGAACAGAAAUCACUGAUGGCAAGGGGAAGGAAGAGAGAAUGGUACGUACAAAGGCCCAAAACAACAAAUAAAUUGGGCAAUGGAACAGCAAGUAGUAUAGAGUAAGGAAGUAUAAUGAGAAAGAACCAUGAACAGGUAGGGGUUGUCCUAAGUAGGGUUUUAGGGGUCUCCUAUAAUAUUCCCUCUGUCAGACAUUUUAAGGAGUGGAGGUGGGGAAACAGUGUUAUAAGUAGAUUUACAUUUUCCAAAGAUCAUUAGCUACAGGGAUUGGAGGGAAAAAACUGAUCAGGCUGUCAGCAGUAUAGAUGAGGGAUCAUUAGACUGGACUGUGGAAGUGGUGGAAAUGCAGCAGGCUGUGUUUGAGACAAAUGAGUAAGAUUAUAUUGACAGUGGGUUUAGGUAUCAGGAAGUGUAGGUAGAGAAGCUUGAGCCCUAGGUCUGGCUUGUGUGGGGUUGUGGUGCCACUGUUCUCUGUCCACUCUAAAAUAUAAACUUCAUUUUGACAUAAUUUCAGACUAACAGAAAGCUUGCAAUAGUAAAAAGUAGUCCAUAUACCCUUUAUUCAAAUUCCACAAAUGUUAAAUUUAUAUUUACUUUAUCUUUCUGAACUCCAAUGAGAUUAGGUUGCUGAUAUACAAUUUCCUUCUAAAUUUGUCGACGUGUAUUAUUCAAAAACAAGGGCAUUUUCUUACAUGGCCACACAACUGUCAAUCAAAUUAAUACCAUUAACCAUGGACUCAUUUAAAUUUCACCAAUUAUUCCUAUAAUGUUCUUUAUAGAAAAUUCUGUUCAUUCUGCAUUUAGUUGUCAUGUGUCUAAAGUUUUCUUAUAUCUGCAACAGUUCCACUGUCUUGUCUUUCAUGGCUGCAUAUUUUGAUGAGUACAGGCCCUUAACUGGCUUUGCCUGGUAUUUCCUCAGGACUGGCAACUAACAGUUUACUCUUCAACCCACUACAAUUUUUCUUUUCCCUACUUGUUAUCUGAAGUCAGCUGUACAUUCUUGAAAUUCUUCUGGAUAACAGAGGAUAAAUAAAAGCUAUGUGGAAGGCACACAGACAUCCAUCUACUUCCCCUCAUACAAUUUACCCUAUAGUACCAGGCAUUUUGUAUACACUUGAAAGCCACACCGUUUUUUGUCUCCAUGACGAAUCACAUUUGUUUCCAUUUUAAAACCAAGAUGGGCCAACAGCAUUUGAACAACUUAGGACUUGUUAGAAAUGCAGAGUCAGACCCCUUUCCAGACUUACUGAAGCAAAAACUGCAUUCUAACAACAUCCCUCAAGUAAUUUGUUUGCACAUAAAAGUUUGAGAAUGAAUGAUCUGGAACACUUUACUCUUCUUCUAAAUUCCAAGUAAGUACUUAAAGCUGCAGUUGGCAUCACCAUCUUUCUGAGUUCCUUGUGCCCCCUCCCCAUCACCCUUACCCGCUUCCUUCCCGUUGUCUUCCCCUAGGCAGUGAGUUACACUCUCCCUCUUCUUUUUAGAAUUUUUUUUUAUCAUAUCUGUGCCCACAUCAUUUUAAUAGUUAACUUGUGUGUCUGCUUCCUCUUAAUACAUUAUAAUUUCUUUGAGUCUCUGUGAUUCAUCUUUUGAUUCGUCAGUCUGCCUGGCACAGAGUAAAUGGUCGAUAAAUGUUGAGCUCUAGAGUUUUAUUUAAUUCUACAGAAAUCACUAACAACAAAUAGUGAUGACCAGUAUUUCAGACAUGCCUUACAUAGUAUGAAAUCUAAUGCUUAAUUUGAGUUGGGAGUGGUCGGGAAAGAAAAUAAGGGAGGAGAGAUUGGGAUAAAUACAAUAUACUUCACUGAUUCACCUAAUAAUAUUGCACCAUUCAUCUCAAAUGUCUUCUCUUCCUAGCUCUUAAUUCCCCAUUACUACCAUGUCAUUACAUCAUUGAUAUGCUACUAUUAUUUCUGUGCCUAACACAUUUACACUGCCCUUUUUUUUAAUUUUAGAAAAUAACAUUAGAAAUAAUAAAACCAUCUAAUCUCACUUAUCUAACAGCAUAUAAUUUCAUUUUUGUAUAUUUCAUUCAGUCAUACAAAUGCAUAUAAUUCAUAUUCACAUUUCAAAUGUAAUUUCAUUUAAAUAUGUGUACAAUUAUACUUCUCAAAUUUUAUUAAUUCACCCAUUGUUAUUUUUUCAGAUGGUUACCUAACAUUCUUCUGGUUAGAGAUAAUAUCAUUUAUCCUCUAGCUGUUAGAGCUAGUUGUUAUCAUCAUGGUAUUUCUAUUAUGGUCAUUCUUAAACUAAUCACCUUCAUGCACACAUUUUUUUCUUUUUCUAAAAUUAACCUCAGUAUAAAUUUCAAGUAGUAGAAUUGUAUCAUGAAAAAGUAUCUGAACAUAAACCUAUAUUUUCCUGUAUUUCUUUGGUCUUUUUUUCCCUAAGCAUAGACAAUUGUUCCUUGACCUUAGCGCUUUCAAUUUUUUAAAAACUUUUUACUGUGAAAAAAUUUCAACGAACACAAAUGAAGAGAUGAACGAACUCCCCUGUACCUAUCAUUCAUCAUCAGUGAUUACACACUGGUGACCAUCCCCAACUUUUUUUUGCUAGCCUGUUUUAAAGCAAAUCCCAACAAAAGAUAUGUGAGUUUAAAUUUCUAACAAACAUAAAGAGUGUGUGUGUGUUAUGUAACCACAUGUAUUAUUACAUCUAACAAACUUCAUUAAUAUCCAACAGCCAUGCGUGUUCAAAUUUCAUGAUCUCAAAAAUUGUGUGAAUGUGUACAGCUGAGUUGUUCAAGUCAGGAUCUCCAAAAGACCCACACAUUCCAUUUGGUUUACUGAAGAAUGAACAUUUCUACGUGGUUAUAAUUGUACCAUACAUAAAAGUAAAACACUUCUGUCCUCUUCUGUUAUUUGACAUUCGUUGAUGUUUCUACCUUUACAUGAACUUUAAAGGUAUUUUUAAAAGGUACACGUUCCACUGUGUUGGUUAACCAUAUCUCAGUUACACUCUUUACCUUAUUUCCAAUUGUUCAUUAACACAAAUAAUAGUAAAAUGAAUAGAUUUGUACAUAAAGGUGGUUUUGUAUUUGCCAUUAGGUUAGGUUACCAGAAAAUGAAUUUACUCGGUCAAAAUUCAGGGCUAACAGUUUAGUAAACAUUUGCACAAGUAAAUUGUUAUUUUUCCUCAGUGAGCUUAUUUUAAAAAUACAUAAUUUAAAGGCAUUGUAAUUAAUUUCACGGUACUUCCCAAAAGGUUUGUAUUCUUAAUGCUACCUAAUAUUUGAGGGUCCUGAUUUCACUACAUACAUCUUGUCAGAAUUAUUAUAAUGUUUAAAUGUCUUAAUAUAAUCGGAAAAAAUAGUAAAUAUUUAGCAGAGUAUCUACACAUAAGCACUCAGUAAAUGUUACUUAUGAUUAUGAUUUUCAUUAUCACCAUCAAAUACAUCUUUUUUUUCUUCUAAUUCUUUUAAGUCAGGACUUUAAAAUUUAACUCUUUAAUCCAUCUGGAAUGUAUUUAAAAUAAAUUGAAGAUGGACGAACAUUAAUGUGCAUUAUGAGUAGCUCUUUUUUUUUUUUUCCCC